AGCGAACGUUAGCGGCAGGCUUAACACAUGCAAGUCGAGCGAGAAAAGGGCUUCGGCCCCGAGUAAAGCGGCGGACGGGUGCGUAACACGUGGGUAAUGUGCCCUUCAGCGGGGGAUAACAGUCCGAAAGGAUUGCUAAUACCGCAUACGUCGGCGAGGUCUUCGGACUUUGUCGGGAAAGGUGGCCUCUCCAUGGAAGCUACCACUGAAGGAGCAGCCCGCGGCCCAUCAGCUAGNGGUGAGGUAAUGGCUCACCAAGGCUUAGACGGGUAGCUGGUCUGAGAGGAUGAUCAGCCACACUGGAACUGAGACACGGUCCAGACUCCUACGGGAGGCAGCAGUGGGGAAUAUUGGGCAAUGGGCGCAAGCCUGACCCAGCCAUGCCGCGUGAGU
rnacentral:rRNA from 1 species